AUUGAACGCUGGCGGAAUGCUUUCCACAUGCAAGUCGAACGGCAGCACGGACUUCGGUCUGGUGGCGAGUGGCGAGCGGGUGAGUAAUGUAUCGGAACGUGCCCAGUCGUGGGGGAUAACGUAGUGAAAAUUACGCUAAUACCGCAUACGAUCUAUGGAUGAAAGCGGGGGAUCGCAAGACCUCGCGCGAUUGGAGCGGCCGAUAUCAGAUUAGGUAGUUGGUGGGGUAAAGGCCCACCAAGCCAACGAUCUGUAGCUGGUCUGAGGGGAAGAACAGCCACACUGGAACUGAGACACGGUCCCGACUCCUACGGGAGUCAGCAGUGGGGAAUUUUGGACAAUGGGCGAAAGCCUGAUCCAGCCAUUCCGCGUGCAGGAUGAAGACCCUCGGGUUGUAAACUGCUUUUGUACAGAACGAAAAGGUUUCUACUAAUACUAGGAGCUCAUGACGGUACUGUAAGAAUAAGCACCGGCUAACUACGUGCCAGCCGCCGCCGUAA
rnacentral:rRNA from 1 species